UACGUAGGGUGCGAGCGUUAAUCGGAAUUACUGGGCGUAAAGCGUGCGCAGGCGGUUUUGUAAGUCUGUCGUGAAAUCCCCGGGCUCAACCUGGGAAUUGCGAUGGAGACUGCAAGGCUAGAAUCUGGCAGAGGGGGGUAGAAUUCCACGUGUGAGCAGUGAAAUGCGUAGAGAUAGUGGGAGGAACACCGAUGGCGAAGGCAGCCCCCUGGGUCCAAGAUUGGAC
rnacentral:rRNA from 1 species